UUUUUUUUUUCUUUUUUUUGUUUUUCAGCUGCACCCACAGCAUCUGGAAGUUCUCAAGCCAGGGACUGAAUCUGAGCCACAGCUGCAACAAUUCCAGAUCCUUUAAUCCACUGUACUAAGCUGGGGAUUGAACCUGUGCCUCCACAAAGACAAGCUGUAUCAUUAACCCCCUGUGCCAAAUUGGGAAUUCCUUCUUAAGGGAAAUAGGUUUAUAUGUACUUAUAAUUAGUCUAGAUUCUAAAUGAUGUGAAUGGAAAGAAUAUUAUUGUAAUAUGUUAAGAAUCUGCUAUAAUAAUUUUUGGAGGGCAAAAAUACUUACGGAGCGUAGCACCAUCUAAUGUUAUGCUGCUUAGUGAAGCACUAUGUCUUGAUAAUAAAUCAUUGGAAUGAAAAGCAAGAGAUGGACUUUGUUGUGAGAUUUUCUUUUGGUAAUUCCUCACCUAUUCCUACUAGGAAUAGAGCCAAUAUACUAGAGAACGGCAUCUGCUACCUAGGGUUGCUCUUUACUGCCUUAGCUUUAUCAGCAGAAAGAAUACAAAGUAUGAUUGAGAGCAGUUUUAUCUUCUAUUUAACUGUACCUGAUUAAAAUACACAUAUAAUUAGAAGUUUAUUUCUGUAAAGAGUUAUUAAAAUGGAUAUUUUCAUGCCAUUUAAAACAUAAUAUAUUCUACAGAAGAAUAAUAUUUUUGUGUUGAAUUUUCAUGACAUGAAUUUAUUUAAACUACUAAAUUCUCAAACACUGUGAAGCAUGCUGGGUUAAUUAGCACUAAAGAGCAAAAUAUCAUUAUGCAUUAUUUAAAGUAGAAUCUUCAAACUAUUGUGGUGAGAUUUAUGUACUAGUACGUUUUUGAGAAAUAUAAUUUAAUGCUGCUACAGAGUAUAAGUGAUAUAAGGUAAAUUGAAUCAUAAAAUAAAGCAGCUUUUUUUUCUCCUCAGUAUUUAUGAAAAGUACAAGAGAAAGAAACAAUAAUUUACUUGAAAGUUUUUCUUUUUCUUAAUGAAAAAAAGUCAGAAAUAGAAAGACAAAUACGAUAUGAUAUCACUUAUAUGUGUAAUCUAAAUUAUGGCAUGAAUGAACCGAUCUACAAAACAGAAACAGACUCGCAGACAUAGAGAACAGACUUGUGGUUGCAAAGGAGGAGGAGAGAGGGAGUGGGAUGGAUGGGGAAUUUGGCGUUAGUAGAUACAGACUAUUACAUUUAGAAUGGAUAAGCAAUGAGGUCCUCAUAUAUAGCACAGGGAAUUAUAUCCAAACUCUUAAGAUGGAACAUGAUGGAAGAUAAUAUGAGAAAAAUAAUGUAUGUAUAUGCAUUACUGCGUCACUUUGCUGUACAGCAGCAAUUGACACAACAUUGUAAAUCAACUAUACUUUAAUAAAAAUACACACUAAAAAUAAAAAAAAUUGCUGCAAAUGGCAUUAUUUUGUUCUUUUUUCAUGGCUGAAUAUAUUAUAGAAAACUGUCUCUUAGCACAUCAGAGGGAGCCUCUGAGAGAAUACUACUCCAUCUCCACCACAGUGUAGAAUCUUUGAUACUUGAUAUUGUUUAUGGAAUUUCAUAAAUUUUUACAUCAAACCUUUCCAGACAAAACAUGGCAAAAGUGUAUCCAGUUCAUUUACCUCCUCAUCUGUAUGGGCACAUAAUCUUACACAGUAAGUGAUCAAAAAUAUCAAUUGAAUGAAUUUUUGUAGGAUAUUUGUAAAAAGUAGAAUUUUCCAACGUAUUCUUUUUCUCCAUCUGGGAAGAGAGGUUUCUAUUUCUAAUUCAGCUCAAUUUGAAUAUGGAGUAAUUUAAAUAGGAAUCUCUCUGCUUGAGAUGGAUCAUGGAUUUCCUCCUCAGAGUGGUAUGAAGACACUUGUUUUUUUCCUGCCAAGGAUUUAAUUAGAAUCAUGUUAUAGGGAUUUGGAUGCUUAUCUGAUGACAUUCUCUACUAUCCCAGCAUUCUGCAAAUUGAUUGGGGCAAUACAACAUUAUUCUGAGAAGAAAUCCUCAUUUGGAUUCCCCUGGGCCUCAUUUCUUCCAAACUGAAUACUACCAACACAGUAACCUCAUACAGGUGGUUACUGCUUUGGUUCUGCUGAUGUUUGUGUUGUGAUGCUUAGAAGGAGAGUGGGAGGACAGAGAAAACAUCUAGAGAGUUAAUGACCAAACAUGGAUAGUGGGACAUGCCAUAGAGAGGGCAGGUUUCAGAAGAGCCUGAGUGCACAUAGAUGCACACCUUGCAGUACUAAGACCUUAUCUAGUUUCCACACUUGUCCUCUCACCAAGCUGCACACUCUCAGAAUGAGACCUUGUCUGCUGUUUCUCUCUUUAUCCCUUAACCUUUAUCCCUUCUCUGGUCAUUUUCAUCUGCUGAAGGUAACUGGUACUCUGUGGGCCAACUUCCUUUAAAAUCAACAAAUCUGAUUUGACAAUCAUGUCUUUAGCAGAAAAUACAGAAAAACAAGUCCUAUUUCAAGUUUCUUUAAUAAAAAAUCACUGUCUGCCUACUGUGUGUAAAGCACUUUUACAUAUGGUGUCAAAUUUACUUCUGGGUGGUCAAUCCCCAUUUGAUAUAAAAAUGAAUACUCUCACGUAUUAAAUCAUUAGUAACUUUAGCAAAUAAAUAUUAGUAUUGGGGUUCAAACCUUUGUCUACUUGAGCCAAAGUUUGCACAGGGCAAAAUAGGAAAAAGCAAAUACCAGCAUGUAAUUAUUAGCAG
rnacentral:lncRNA from 1 species